GAUGAACGCUGGCGGCGUGCCUAAUACAUGCAAGUCGAGCGAACAGAUGAGGAGCUUGCUCCUCUGACGUUAGCGGCGGACGGGUGAGUAACACGUGGAUAACCUACCUAUAAGACUGGGAUAACUUCGGGAAACCGGAGCUAAUACCGGAUAAUAUAUUGAACCGCAUGGUUCAAUAGUGAAAGACGGUUUUGCUGUCACUUAUAGAUGGAUCCGCGCCGCAUUAGCUAGUUGGUAAGGUAACGGCUUACCAAGGCAACGAUGCGUAGCCGACCUGAGAGGGUGAUCGGCCACACUGGAACUGAGACACGGUCCAGGCUCCUACGGGAGGCAGCAGUAGGGAAUCUUCCGCAAUGGGCGAAAGCUUGACGGAGCAACGCCGCGUGAGUGAUGAAGGUCUUCGGAUCGUAAAACUCUGUUAUUAGGGAAGAACAAAUGUGUAAGUAACUAUGCACGUCUUGACGGUACCUAAUCAGAAAGCCACGGCUAACUACGUG
rnacentral:rRNA from 1 species